GAUGAACGCUAGCGGCAGGCUUAACACAUGCAAGUCGAGGGGUAGAAGCAGCUUGCUGCUUUGAGACCGGCGCACGGGUGCGUAACGCGUAUGCAAUCUACCUUUUACAGAGGGAUAGCCCAGAGAAAUUUGGAUUAAUACCUCAUAGUAUGUGAGAAUCGCAUGGUUUUCACAUUAAAGUUCCAACGGUAAAAGAUGAGCAUGCGUCCCAUUAGCUAGAUGGUAAGGUAACGGCUUACCAUGGCGACGAUGGGUAGGGGUCCUGAGAGGGGAGAUCCCCCACACUGGUACUGAGACACGGACCCGACUCCUACGGGAGGCAGCAGUAAGGAAUAUUGGACAAUGGAGGGAACUCUGAUCCAGCCAUGCCGCGUGAAGGAUGAAGGCGCUCAGCGUUGUAAACUUCUUUGGAUGGGAACAAUAACUUCUACGUGUAGGAGCUUGAGGGUACCAUCAGAAUAAGCACCGGNUAACUCCGUGCCAGCAG
rnacentral:rRNA from 1 species